rnacentral:rRNA from 1 species
GACGAACGCUGGCGGCGUGCCUCAUACAUGCAAGUCGGACGAGGAGAGAAAUCUCCGAGUGGCGGACGGGUGAGUAACACGUAGGCAACCUGCCUUACAGAGGGGGAUAACGUUCCGAAAGGAACGCUAAUACAGCAUAAGGUCUUUGCAGCGCAUGCUUUAAAGAAGAAAGGAGAAAUCCGCUGUAAGAUGGGCCUGCGGCCUAUUAGCUAGUUGGAAGGGUAACGGCCUACCAAGGCGACGAUAGGUAGCCGAUCUGAGAGGGUGAACGGCCACACUGGAACUGAGAAACGGACCAGACUCCUACGGGGGGCAGCAGUAGGGAAUAUUCGGCAAUGGGGGAAACCCUGACCGAGCAACGCCGCGUGAGUGAAGAAGGUGUUCGGAUUGUAAAGCUCUGACACCGGGGAAGAUAAUGACGGUACCCGGAGAGGAAGCCACGGCAAACUACGUGCCAGCAGCCGCGGUAAAAC